rnacentral:rRNA from 1 species
UGGGGAAUAUUGGACAAUGGGGGGAACCCUGAUCCAGCCAUGCCGCGUGUGUGAAGAAGGCCUUAUGGUUGUAUAGCACUUUAAGCGAGGAGGAGGGUACUGGUAUUAAUACUACCAGCUACUGGACGUUACUCGCAGAAUAAGCACCGGCUAACUCUGUGCCAGCAGCCGCGGUAAUACAGAGGGUGCGAGCGUUAAUCGGAUUUACUGGGCGUAAAGCGUGCGUAGGCGGCUAAUUGAGUCGGAUGUGAAAUCCCCGAGCUUAACUUGGGAAUUGCAUUCGAUACUGGUUAGCUAGAGUGUGGGAGAGGAUGGUAGAAUUCCAGGUGUAGCGGUGAAAUGCGUAGAUAUAGGAAGGAACACCAGUGGCGAAGGCGACCACCUGGGCUCAUACUGACACUGAGGUGCGAAAGCGUGGGGAGCAAACAGG